AACGAACGCUGGCGGCAUGCCUAACACAUGCAAGUCGAACGAGACCUUCGGGUCUAGUGGCGCACGGGUGCGUAACGCGUGGGAACCUGCCCUUAGGUUCGGAAUAACUCCCCGAAAGGGGUGCUAAUACCGGAUAAUGUCUUCGGACCAAAGAUUUAUCGCCUUUGGAUGGGCCCGCGUUGGAUUAGCUAGUUGGUAGGGUAAAAGCCUACCAAGGCGACGAUCCAUAGCUGGUCUGAGAGGAUGAUCAGCCACACUGGGACUGAGACACGGCCCAGACUCCUACGGGAGGCAGCAGUGGGGAGUAUUGGACAAUGGGCGAAAGCCUGAUCCAGCAAUGCCGCGUGAGUGAUGAAGGCCGUAGGGUUGUAAAGCUCUUUUACCCGGGAUGAUAAUGACAGUACCGGGAGAAUAAGCUCCGGCUAACUCCGUG
rnacentral:rRNA from 1 species